GUACGUACAAGCAGUGGGAGCACCCUUCGGGGUGUGACUGCGUACCUUUUGUAUAAUGGGUCAGCGACUUAUAUUCUGUAGCAAGGUUAACCGAAUAGGGGAGCCGGAGGGAAACCGAGUCUUAAUUGGGCGUUAAGUUGCAGGGUAUAGACCCGAAACCCGGUGAUCUAGCCAUGGGCAGGUUGAAGGUUGGGUAACACUAACUGGAGGACCGAACCGACUAAUGUUGAAAAAUUAGCGGAUGACCUGUGGCUGGGGGUGAAAGGCCAAUCAAACCGGGAGAUAGCUGGUUCUCCCCGAAAGCUAUUUAGGUAGCGCCUCGUGAAUUCAUCUCCGGGGGUAGAGCACUGUUUCGGCUAGGGGGCCAUCCCGGCUUACCAACCCGAUGCAAACUGCGAAUACCGGAGAAUGUUAUCACGGGAGACACACGGCGGGUGCUAACGUCCGUCGUGAAGAGGGAAACAACCCAGACCGCCAGCUAAGGUCCCAAAGUCAUGGUUAAGUGGGAAACGAUGUGGGAAGGCCCAGACAGCCAGGAUGUUGGCUUAGAAGCAGCCAUCAUUUAAAGAAAGCGUAAUAGCUCACUGGUCGAGUCGGCCUGCGCGGAAGAUGUAACGGGGCUAAACCAU
rnacentral:rRNA from 1 species